rnacentral:rRNA from 1 species
GAUGAACGCUAGCUACAGGCUUAACACAUGCAAGUCGAGGGGCAGCACAGUGUAGCAAUACAUGGGUGGCGACCGGCGCACGGGUGCGUAACGCGUAUCCAACCUUCCCGUUACUCUUGGAUAGCCUUCCGAAAGGGAGAUUAAUACAAGGUGGUAUUCAAAUUCCGCAUGUUAUUUGAAUUAAAGAUUUAUCGGUAACGGAUGGGGAUGCGUGACAUUAGGUAGAUGGCGGGGUAACGGCCCACCAUGCCUACGAUGUCUAGGGGUUCUGAGAGGAAGGUCCCCCACACUGGAACUGAGACACGGUCCAGACUCCUACGGGAGGCAGCAGUGAGGAAUAUUGGUCAAUGGCCGGAAGGCUGAACCAGCCAAGUAGCGUGAAGGAUGACUGCCCUAUGGGUUGUAAACUUCUUUUAUACGGGAAUAAAGACAUUACGUGUAGUGUUUUGCAUGUACCGUUAUGAAUAAGCAUCGGCUAACUCCGUG